UACGGGGGGGGCAAGCGUUGUUCGGAAUUACUGGGCGUAAAGGGCUCGUAGGCGGCCAACUAAGUCAUACGUGAAAUCCCUCGGCUUAACCGGGGAACUGCGUCUGAUACUGGAUGGCUUGAGCUCGGGAGAGGGAUGCGGAAUUCCAGGUGUAGCGGUGAAAUGCGUAGAUAUCUGGAGGAACACCGGUGGCGAAGGCGGCAUCCUGGACCGAUACUGACGCUGAGGAGCGAAAGCCAGGGGAGCAAACGGG
rnacentral:rRNA from 1 species